rnacentral:lncRNA from 1 species
CACGAUCAAUGGACCCUUCGCCCCAAUAGCGGCGACCUGACGCGUGUCAUGCAGAAGGCGACUCGGCAUUGGCCAAAGCAGCUGCAUACCAGUUCGCUCCCAAUCAGUUGGAUCCGUCUCCAAUGCCCGAGCCUUCUGCUCCGCCUCGUCGAGCCUGAGAAUCGCUUUCCUUCUUUUCGAUUUUAGCCUGGCGACUUCUUCUUCCAACUCGUCCAAACGGAUGUCGAUCUUUCUUUUCUUCAGACGAAAGAAUUGCAGAUCCCUGCACUGUUCUUGAUAAAGGCCCCCGACCUAACAAAAAAAAAAGACAGUUGUUUAGAUCCCCCAAAAAUAGGAUACCAAUGUUCGCAUGAACGGAACGGUACCGAUACCUUCUUAACAAACGCCUCGGCCUCAUCUGAUUCGGCUUUACUGGCCAAGGUGCCUAUGAGAAAUGCCUUCACACCCGACGGUGUAAAUUCGAGGCAUCGUGGGAUCCCUAGGAUGGGUGGUGCAUUCCGGUUAGCUUCAACAUCCCGCAUACAUUACUCGAAGUAGGCGUAAAGGCUUGUCAGCAUCGGAGCUAUGCGCCCAAACCCAAAGGGAAUCCAGUUUCUCGGGUG